rnacentral:rRNA from 1 species
UACAUGGGGUGCAAACGUUGCUCGGAAUUAUUGGGCGUAAAGCGCGCGUAGGCGGUUACUUAAGUCGGAUGUGAAAGCCCUCGGCUUAACUGAGGAAGUGCACCCGAAACUGAGUAGCUAGAGUACGAAAGAGGGUCGCGGAAUUCCCGGUGUAGAGGUGAAAUUCGUAGAUAUCUGGAGGAACACCGGUGGCGAAGGCGGCAUCCUGGACCGGCAUUGACGCUGAGGCGCGAAAGCCAGGGGAGCAAACGGG